rnacentral:lncRNA from 1 species
UCGUCUUUCUAAGUCUUUGUAAAACAAAGGUGUUUUGAGGUUGAUUUGAGGUAGUGCACAGAGAGUACUCAGGCUGGGAUCUCAAACUCGGUUAUUUCUGGAGCCAGGAUGCUGGUCUGAGCGGCGCGCAGCCGAUGGAGGUAUUUUUAAGUGCGUGUGAUCCUUGGGUUUCAAUGGCAAGGAAAAAGGAAACAUGUGGAUGGAAGACAGGACCACUGAUACUGAUUCUCCAGAUUUUGAGGUACUUAGAACCUAUCAAUUUGCAAAGCCAAAGUCCCUUCUUGGAGCUUAUAUUUUACCAAGGGUCUAAGGGAUGCAUGCUCUCUAUAAUAGUGUGUGGAAGAUGAAGAAAAAACAAAGGAUGAGUUUGAAGAGGAAG